GGAGGGGUGGCAGAGUGGUCUAAUGCACACGCUUGGAACGCGUGCGGGAGUAAUCCCUCGCAGGUUCGAAUCCUGUCCCCUCCG
rnacentral:tRNA from 1 species